UAACUAUUGCUAAAUAAUUUUAUUUAAGUAUAUAUAAAAACAUUUUAAGAUUUAGUAAUGGAGAUUAAAAAUUAUUUUUUUAGAUUUAUAAGUACUGCAAAGGAAUAUAGCCAUCAAAAACAAGAAAUAAUUAAAAUUUGUACCUUUUGUAUCAUGGUUUAACUAGAUAAAAUUUUUAAUAAAAAUUCUCGAAAUCUAGUGAUCUAUUUUAGGUCUUUUAUUAGACUAAGGAGAUAAUUGUAGCAUAAAUUUCUUUAGAACUUAAAAUAGAAAUGAAAUUUCUUUCGUACUAGAUGAUAGCUAGUUCUUUUUAAAAGAUAUAAAAGUAUCUAAAUUUAAUUUUUUAAAAAAUUUAUAUUAUUUAAAAAUUUUAAUAAAAACAUAUUUUUGAGGAUAAGCUCGAAAAUCUAAUUAUUAUAUAUAAAAUUUAUUUUUAAACUUAGGCUUGAAAAUAGCCACUAUUAGAGAUUAUGUUAUAAUUUCAUUAAUUAUAAAAAAAUAAAAUAAAUUUAUUAAUUGCUAAGAAAAGAAAACUUUUUAAUUAACAAAUAAGCUAUAUAUAUGUUAAAAUGAGUAUUUUAAAAAUUAUAAAAUCAGAUAAAAUAAUAACUCUGAAUUACAAAAAAAAGAUAAUUUAAAAUUUUAUAAAGGAACUCGGCAAACACUUAUCCUGCCUGUUUAGCAAAAACAUGGCUUCUCGAUUUUAAUUUAUGUGAAGUCGUACCUGCCCAGUGAAAUUUUAACGGCCGCGGUACUCUGACCGUGCAAAGGUAGCAUAAUAAUUUGCCUUAUAAUUGAAGGCUGGAAUGAAUGGUUUGUCAAGGAUAAAACUGUCUCUAUAAAAUUUUAUAGAAUUUUAUUUUUAGGUGAAAAAGCCUAAAUUUCAUUAAAAGACAAGAAGACCCUAUCGAGCUUUAAAAAACUUAAUAAAUAUUUACAACUAAUUAGAAGUUUAAUUAUAAAAAAUUUUGGUUGGGGCAACCUAGGAGUAAAUAAAGCCUCCUUUUUUGAAAAAACUAUUUUGUUAGGAUCCAAAAAUUUUGAUCAGAAGAAAUAGUUACCGUAGGGAUAACAGCAUUAUUUUUUUUGAGAGCUCUUAUCGAAAAAAAAGUUUGUGACCUCGAUGUUGGACCAGAAUAUCCUGAAGAUGCAGAAGUCUUCAAGGGUUGGUCUGUUCGACCAUUAAAAUUCUACGUGAUCUGAGUUCAGACCGGCGUAAGCCAGGUCAGUUUCUAUCUUUAAAUUUAUUAAUUUUUCUAGUACGAAAGGACCGAAAAACUAUAAAAAUUAUAAAAAAAGAAAUAAUUUAAUAAAAAGUAAA
rnacentral:rRNA from 1 species